UACAGAGACUGCAAGCGUUAUUCGGAUUCACUGGGCGUAAAGGGUGCGCAGGUGGCCGUGUGUGUCAGAUGUGAAAUCCCGGGGCUUAACUCCGGAACUGCGUCUGAAACUACACGGCUAGAGCAUUGGAGAGGGUAGUGGAAUUCACGGUGUAGCAGUGAAAUGCGUAGAUAUCGUGAGGAACACCAGAGGCGAAGGCGACUACCUGGACAAUAGCUGACACUCAGGCACGAAAGCGUGGGGAGCAAACGGG
rnacentral:rRNA from 1 species